rnacentral:rRNA from 1 species
UGGGGAAUUUUGGACGAAUUGGGCGAAAGCCUGAUCCAGCAAUGCCGCGUGUGUGAAGAAGGCCUUCGGGUUGUAAAGCACUUUUGUCCGGAAAGAAAUCCUUGGCUCUAAUACAGUCGGGGGAUGACGGUACCGGAAGAAUAAGCACCGGCUAACUACGUGCCAGCAGCCGCGGUAAUACGUAGGGGUGCAAGCGUUAAUCGGAAUUACUGGGCGUAAAGCGUGCGCAGGCGGUUUGCUAAGACCGAUGUGAAAUCCCCGGGCUCAACCUGGGAACUGAUUGGUGACUGGCAGGGCUAGAGUAUGGCAGAGGGGGGUAGAAUUCCACGUGUAGCAGUGAAAUGCGUAGAGAUGUGGAGGAAUA